rnacentral:rRNA from 1 species
AUUGAACGCUGGCGGCAGGCCUAACACAUGCAAGUCGAGCGAGCGGCGGACGGGUGAGUAAUGUAUGGGGACUGCCCGAUAGAGGGGGAUAACUUUUGGAAACGGUAGCUAAUACCGCAUACUAUCGGAUAACCCAUAUGGGAUUAGCUAGUAGGUGAGGUAAUGGCUCACCUAGGCGACGAUCCCUAGCUGGUCUGCGAGGAUGAUCAGCCACACUGGGACGGAGACACAGCCCAGACUCCUACGGAGGCAGCAGUGGGGAAUAUUGCACAAGGGGCGCAAGCCUGAUGCAGCCAUGCCGCGUGGAUAAAGAAGGCCCUAGGGUUGUAAAGUACUUUCAGUCGGGAGGCGUUACCGACAGAAGAAGCACCGGCUAACUCCGUGCCAACAGCCGCGGUAAUUC